UCAAGCUGUGCCCAGGACACACGGGAGCUUGUGAGUCCAAAACAGGACAAGAAUAAACAGGACAAGAAUGGAAGUAAAACUGGGUGGUGGCAGCGGUGAUGGAGCCCCCACGGCGCGGUUCGGGGAUGCCGUGGCCGGUUUGGGAAGGAGAGGCACGGCUGAACAUCACGGUGUCCCCUCCAUCCCUGCGAGGGGACGAACGGAGCAGCAGAGACCUGACGGCAAAACGGGUGCUCCAGGAGAGGGUUCUGUGGGUGCUCGUGGCCCUGCCAGCCCAGGGCUCAGAGCAGGGGGGAGCCCAGCUCCAGCUCCAGUGUGGGGUCAGCUGGGCCAACACCUUCAGAGGGAAAUAUCCCUCGAGUGCUCAAGCACCAAAAUGGGGCUGAGGAUGGGUUGGCUCUCCAGACCCUUGUGCACCCCAAAACCCAGGAUGCCCAGACAUAUCAUCGUGUCCCAGAAGCUUCAUGAGCCCAAAACUCCAGCAUAAAGCAAAUACAUUCCUGGUUUUCG